AGCUCUCAGAAAUUGUUCCAGUACCAUGCCUGCCUGCUGAAGUGUUCCCCACCAUGGCAGUGAUGGACCCCUAUUGCUUAAUAAUUACACUAUGCAAGCCAUCCAUUGCCAUCAGAGAUCAAUACUGUGUUCAGUCUUCAUCAGAAGAACUUCUUAUAUAAUGAUGGCAGCUAAUGCAGAUACUCACCUGUAAGGAGCCAAACUCACCCCAUUGGAGGUUCAGGGAGCAUCAGUAAAGAGGAAGGAGAAGUAUGCAAGAGCCAGGGGCUGGGUCAAUGUGCAGGGAAAGAGACGUCCUCUGGACAUAACACUGUCACUGCACUUGUAACUCACUGCAGCUGUGGUUGCUUGCAAACGACUGCACUGAAUUGGACCUGCUAAUAUCUCAUCCCAAAUAGGAGAGGGAGCCAUGAGACUCCCACCCUGUCCGGGGCAGGUAUGGGCUGCUGGUGGAGAAGGCUUCACUUCCUUCAGAGAAACUGCUGGAGCAUGUGAAGGGGCAGGUUUGGCAGAUCCAAAACUGCAGGAUUUCCACAACAUAUUGAAGCAACAGGAUAUUCAAGAGCAGUCCCAAUGAAGACCCAGUGUUGUGGUGUAGCAGAAGCCAGAUGCCUCAAACCUGACCAAUGACUCAUUGCAAUGAACACUUGCAAGUAAAGAUGUAUGGAUGGUCUAAAGGGUAUACUGUGUCUCAUUGUGAUGCAGUAUGGCUUUCACGAUGAGAUUCUUGCUGUUGUUGUUGUCUUUAUUUUAUUUUGGGGGUAGCUUGCAAGGGUAGAGAGCAGAUAUGAAGGGAGGGGGAGACAUGUGGGAUUAGGGUGCAAGAUGUGAAAUUUUUGUCUUGUUUUUUUAAAAUCUAGCUGUAGGACAUUUCCUUUUCCUUCCUUCCUUCCUUCCUUUCAUUCUUUCUGUUUGUUUUUUUAGAGAGGGAUUCUGUGUGUAGUCCUGA